rnacentral:lncRNA from 1 species
UGGGGGUCCACCAGGCGCUGGCGAACGGUGCUGGGCAAAGCAGGAGAUUGCAUGGACAUGGGAGACACGAUCUCCUCAUCCAGGUCAUCCACGUCGUCGGUCAUGAUGAAGUGGGACGGGUUGGGCCUUGGGGUGCCCAUCCAGCCGGGGUCGAUGUUGAGGGCGGACGCCAACGUGUGGAUGCCGGGGUUGUUGACGAUCUGGAAGCCGCAGAGCAGCUCGAUCUGCUGCCAGCGAUGCAGGCGCUCGCGCAGCGCCGCCGUCACCUCGCUCAGUGCCUGCUUUGCAGUCAGGAUUUUAU